rnacentral:rRNA from 1 species
AUUGAACGCUGGCGGCAUGCUUUACACAUGCAAGUCGAACGGUAACAGGCCGCAAGGUGCUGACGAGUGGCGCACGGGUGAGUAAUGCAUCGGAACGUGCCCAGUCGUGGGGGAUAACUACUCGAAAGAGUAGCUAAUACCGCAUACGAUCUAUGGAUGAAAGCGGGGGACCGUAAGGCCUCGCGCGAUUGGAGCGGCCGAUGUCAGAUUAGGUAGUUGGUGGGGUAAAGGCUCACCAGGCCAACGAUCUGUAGCUGGUCUGAGAGGACGACCAGCCACACUGGGACUGAGACACGGCCCAGACUCCUACGGGAGGCAGCAGUGGGGAAUUUUGGACAAUGGGCGCAAGCCUGAUCCAGCAAUGCCGCGUGCAGGAAGAAGGCCUUCGGGUUGUAAACUGCUUUUGUACGGAACGAAACGGCUCUGGUUAAUACCCGGGGCUAAUGACGGUACCGUAAGAAUAAGCACCGGCUAACUACGUG